AAACUAAAAUAGGUAUUUAAAACACUGAAUAUCGAAAGUUAUUGUUUCAUUUAUUAAAAUUUACUUUUUCAGGCUUGUUGAUUCACUAUUCACUGAGAGAAUAUUCACCUAGAAAUAUUGAGAGCUUUAAGGUCUCUCACUGGUCAUUUCAUUUCUGCAUAUCCCGCCCCCCAAAAUCAGUAUUCGCUGAUUAACAAUUAUAACCAGAGACAUAAAGUUGACUAACGGGAGUUCUUACAACUAUUUUAUUCAAAACCUAUUUUCUCAUUACAGUUUGUUUCUUCUCUUACUGUUCAUCUAUUUUAAUGGAAGGCUUCAGCUUUUGUCUACUCAAAUGACACUAUCAGCUGCAUCACCCUGGACAAGUUCCUUAACUUCCUGUCAUUUUUAUAAUUUCCAAAGAAGACUGCAGAUUUCCAAGAACAUCACUUAAAACCUGCAAAUUGGGAGGAAGAUCCAAGAUAGCCAAAUAGGAACAGCUCUGGAGUGCAGUUCCCAGCAAGAACAACACAGAGGGCUGUGGGAAUAUGACCGUGAACACACAUUUCUACAUCAAGAAUCACAAAUGCUCAGCUUGGGCAACAUAGCAAGACCUAAAUCUACUAAAAUUCAAAACAAAAAUUAGCUGGGCACAGUGGCAAGCACCUGUAGUCUCAGCUACUUGAGGAGCUGAGACAAGAGAAUUGCUUGAGCCCAGCAGGUUGAGGCUGCAGUGAGCCUUGAUCACACCACUACACUCCAGCCUGGGAGGCAGAGUCAGACCCUGUCUCAGAAAAAAAGAAAAGAAAGGCAAAAGGAAGAAAAGAAGCAAGGGAGGAAGGGAGGGAGAGAGGAUGGAUCACACAUGAAAUAUUUGAUGAGUUUUGCUUCAUCCAUCUUAAAUUCUCACGUUUCUGUAAUAUGGUUAAUUUGAUAAAUGAAUAUAUUAAAAAUAAAUUUAUAAAUUACAGAAGAAAAACACAAAUAUUUAUUUGUGUUAGUAUUUGCUAGAACUGUAGAGUUUCCUGAUUUAGUAAGUAUUACUAUCGUUAUCCUGUCUGUGACC